GUGGGGAAUAUUGGGCAAUGGGCGAAAGCCUGACCCAGCAACGCCGCGUGAAGGAAGAAGGUUUUCGGAUCGUAAACUUCUAUCCUUGGUGAAGAUAAUGACGGUAGCCAAGAAGGAAGCCCCGGCUAACUACGUGCCAGCAGCCGCGGUAAUACGUAGGGGGCAAGCGUUGUCCGGAAUGAUUGGGCGUAAAGGGCGCGUAGGCGGCCCGGUAAGUCUGAAGUGAAAGUCCUGCUUUUAAGGUGGGAAUUGCUUUGGAUACUGUCGGGCUUGAGUGCAGGAGAGGUAAGCGGAAUUCCGUGUGUAGCGGUGAAAUGCGUAGAUAUACGGAGGAACACCAGUGGCGAAGGCGGAUUACUGGACGAUAACUGACGCUGAGGCGCGAAAGCGUGGGGAGCAAACAGGAUUAGAAACCCUUGUAGUCC
rnacentral:rRNA from 1 species